AGAGGGUGCAAGCGUUAAUCGGAAUUACUGGGCGUAAAGCGUGCGCAGGCGGUCUUGCAAGACAGAUGUGAAAUCCCCGGGCUUAACCUGGGAACUGCACUUGUGACUGCAAGGCUGGAGUGCGGCAGAGGGGGAUGGAGUUCCGCGUGUAGCAGUGAAAUGCGUAGAUAUGCGGAGGAACACCGAUGGCGAGGGCAAUCCCCUGGGCCUGCACUGACGCUCAUGCACGAAACCGUGAGGAGCAAACAGGAUUAGAUGUCCUGGUAGUCCACGCCCUAAACGAUGUCAACUGGUUGUUGGGAAGGUUCCUUCUCAGUAACGUAGCUAACGCGUGAAGUUGACCGCCUGGGGAGUACGGCCGCAAGGUUG
rnacentral:rRNA from 1 species